rfam:Trichobilharzia regenti genome assembly, scaffold: TRE_scaffold0016672
GUACUUCUGAAGAGUCCCAAACUAGGAUGAAACAGCUGUCCAGUAC